UGUCAAGGAAUGGGAACCGAACCCACAGUGUUCCGCUUACCGGGCAGAUGCCAUGUCCACCCAGGCUACCCAUCCCUGGAC
rnacentral:tRNA from 1 species